GUUUGUCACCUUGUACUCAGCCCCUGUGUACAGAACAUGGCACAGAAGCCAUUUUUGUGGCAGCGGUGGGGAUUCGGCCGUCUCACCAUGCUGCUGCACAGUCUUAGAGUCCUUGCUCAGAGCCGGGCUGUCGUUUAUUUAACAUCCAACGGUCGGUGUGUGUGUGUGUGUUGCGGGGGGGUGGGGGGGUGUUCUCUUCCUACAAUACUGCCUCCCAGGUUCCUGCAGCAGCCACACAUAUCUCUGGGUGGCUGGGGAGGAGGACCAGGUCAGAAUGCAGUAGGACAAGGUUCUUUUCUCCAGGAGGCCCAGAGAGGAUGAUGGGUCAGGUAAAAGGCCCUGCACUUAACUCUCUGCCCCUGGGAGACUUAUUUCUCCUCUGGGGACUUGUUUCUGCAUCCACAGGUGAAGGUGGUUUAAAUGAGAAGCUCUUAAACUUUCUUGGUUUGGCAGCAGCGUUAUUUUUCUAGACAAAGUAUAAUGUGAAAGUUUAAAUGGAUGAAAAUGAACUGAGGAGGCCCCCUUGGUGGGAGCCACUGGGGUGUGUGUGGCAGUUGGGGGAUCCUGCAUGGUCUCCCUUCAUUCCCCUAAUGCCUCUUGAGGCCCCUCAGUGUGGGCCAUUAAAAGGCCCCUAGACCAGCAGAUCCCUUCUACAGAUCUGCUUAUUGAAAAACCUGCUCUUUGCCAGGCAGUGCCUGGAAUUCUAAACCUGAAGCUCCCAAAUGCUGCUCUCCGGGGCCUGGCUCACAUUAUCAAGUCACUUGGGAAGCUUAACAAAUAACGUGGGUUUGUGGUAGCUCCUUGACAGGUGUGCUUAUCCGUGUUGCCUGUCUUGGCUUCCGAUGCAAAGCCAGCUUGGGAACCCCUGGCCUCAUCUCCUUCAGAGUCUUCGUUUGACCUUGGUGGGGCAUGAGGACCUGCUGGCCCUUGUUAAAGCCAGUGAAGGUGGUGACCCUCCCGGGCCAUCUGUUAAGUUGCCCUGUUGAUGGGGUUGGGAGGAGUUAGUAGAGAAGCAGGGCUUGUUUUGCUUAGCAGCCCCUGCCCAGACCCAUCUGUGUGUCUCUCAGACAAGCCUGUGCCGGAGGAGUCGGAGGGCCCUGGCAGCCCUCCCCCUUACAAGAUGAUCCAGACCAUUGGGUUGUCGGUGGGUGCCGCUGUGGCCUACAUCAUUGCCGUGCUGGGCCUCAUGUUCUACUGCAAGAAGCGCUGCAAAGCCAAGCGGCUGCAGAAGCAGCCCGAGGGCGAGGAGCCAGAGAUGGAAUGCCUCAAUGGUGGGCCUUUGCAGAAUGGGCAGCCCUCAGCAGAGAUCCAAGAGGAAGUGGCCUUGACCAGCUUGGGCUCCGGCCCCGCGGCCACCAACAAACGCCACAGCACAAGUGAUAAGAUGCACUUCCCACGGUCUAGCCUGCAGCCCAUCACCACGCUGGGUAUGUUGCCUUGACUACAGCUGCCCCUGCCUAACUACAAGUCACCCGCUGUGUCUUGAGGCUGGGUACGGGCUAGUGUUCUGAAGUCCCUGAAACCUAGAAUGUUAGAGGUGGAGGGAAGCAUAGGUAGAGAUCUAGCCCAGUGUGGCCCCAGAGCCUGUUAUUCACUGCCCUUCGUGCAGAUUUUGUCAUUCCUGUGUACUACCUGUGGUAUUAUUUACUUGAUGUUUUAUUUAAAUUGACUCUUUAAAAAAAAAACUAAGUUACCAUUGUUCUAGGAAAAAAUAUGAGAAAUCAUGGGUUUGUCGUAGUUACAUUUUUUCCUAGCAUACGUUAAGACAUGUUUACCAUGAGCCACCAAAAAUUCUCACGCGAGUCACCCUUUGGAAAAUGCUGAAUAUUAGUCCCACCCUUUUAUUUUGUUGCUGCAGACACUGAAGCCUAAGGAGGGAGGGGGUCACAGCAGAACCGGGUCUCGUGCCCAGCCCAGGUGGGUGGGUCCCCACUGUGGGAGAGGCUAGGCCCCUCCCCCAGGUCAGGAGCUGCCUCGGCCUGGGUGAAGGUGGCUGGCUGACUCAGACUGUACCCACAGGGAAGAGUGAGUUUGGGGAGGUGUUCCUGGCAAAGGCUCAGGGCUUGGAGGAGGGAGUGGCAGAGACCCUGGUACUUGUGAAGAGCCUGCAGAGCAAGGAUGAGCAGCAGCAGCUGGACUUCCGGAGGGAGUUGGAGAUGUUUGGGAAGCUGAACCACGCCAACGUGGUGCGGCUCCUGGGGCUGUGCCGGGAGGCUGAGCCCCACUACAUGGUGCUGGAAUAUGUGGAUCUGGUAUGCUGUUGGCAGGGGACGUGGGGUCUCGGGUAGGGAGGGCAGUGUCCUACAAAGGUGGGAGUCAGUGGUUGGAGCACCGUGAAAACCUUGUCUCGUGCAGUCUCAGCCGAGACCUCACCUGCCUGCUGUUACACUUUGCCCACCUUAUGAUGCUCAGCUUCUGCCUUCCCUGCUCUUGGAUGCCUGCUUUCCCUUUAUCAGCACCCAGUCUUUCCAUCUGUAUCUCAGGGGGGUUGGUCCUAAGUUCUUCUGGGACUUCUCACUGUCACACUGCAGGGAUGCCUUCCAGGUCAUCUUCUCUGACUCUUGUUUUCUUUGGUUUGUUAUUUUUUCCUCCCCAAAAGCUUGUCCCCACUUGAGAAUAAAUAUAUCAGAACCCACUUUGCCUCCCUCCUUCCUAGCACCACUUGUGACAUGAGUGUUACCCCAGCCACCAGCCUUCUCCUCUCCACUCAGGGUGUCGUUCCCAGAGCUGCCCCUUCCUCUUCAUUCCCCAGCUGGUCCUGGCCCUCACCCCAUGGUCCUCAAACUGCUGCUUCUCAAAUCCCUAGUUCUGGGGCAAGAGCGGGCAGGAGUCCUAUCAGUCUUUCCAUUAACAAGUACUUAUGCGGCUGGGCACAGUGGCUCACACUUGUAAUCCCAGCACUUUGGGAGACUGAGGCAGGAGGAUCGCCUGAGGCCAGGAGUCCGAGACCAGCCUGGGCAACAUAGCAAGACUCUGUCUCUAC
rnacentral:sRNA from 1 species